rfam:Myotis brandtii contig277784, whole genome shotgun sequence.
GGCGGUUCUCGGGUGACACACCCUGGAAUCGGCCUCCCUCCUCUCUGGUUCCAGGUGUGUCACCCAAUAACCGCC